rnacentral:rRNA from 1 species
CCGGCACGGGUGAGUAACACGUAUGCAAUCCACCUGUAACAGGGGGAUAACCCGGAGAAAUCCGGACUAAUACCCCAUAAUAUGGGCGCUCCGCAUGGAGAGCCCAUUAAAGAGAGCAAUUUUGGUUACAGACGAGCAUGCGCUCCAUUAGCCAGUUGGCGGGGUAACGGCCCACCAAAGCGACGAUGGAUAGGGGUUCUGAGAGGAAGGUCCCCCACAUUGGGACUGAGACACGGUCCAA